GCCCUUAGAGUUUGAUCCUGGCUCAGGAUGAACGCUAGCGACAGGCUUAACACAUGCAAGUCGAGGGGCAGCACGGUGUAGCAAUACACUGGUGGCGACCGGCGCACGGGUGAGUAACACGUGUGCAACCAACCCCGUACCGGGAGAUAACCCGCGGAAACGUGGACUAACAUCCCAUAACAUUCUAGAGCCGCAUGGCUUUGGAUUUAAAAUUCCGGUGGUACGGGACGGGCACGCGCGACAUUAGGUAGUUGGCGGGGUAACGGCCCACCAAGCCGACGAUGUCUAGGGGUUCUGAGAGGAAGGUCCCCCACACUGGAACUGAGACACGGUCCAGACUCCUACGGGAGGCAGCAGUGAGGAAUAUUGGUCAAUGGGCGCGAGCCUGAACCAGCCAAGUCGCGUGAGGGAAGAAUGGUCUAUGGCCUGUAAACCUCUUUUGCCAGGGAAGAAUAAAAGGUACGUGUACCUUCUUGCCAGUACCUGACGAAUAAGCAUCGGCUAACUCCGUGCCAGCAGCCGCGGUAAUACGGGGGAUGCGAGCGUUAUCCGGAUUUAUUGGGUUUAAAGGGCGCGUAGGCGGGACGCCAAGUCAGCGGUAAAAGACUGCAGCUAAACUGUAGCACGCCGUUGAAACUGGCGACCUGGAGACGAGACGAGGGAGGCGGAACAAGUGAAGUAGCGGUGAAAUGCUUAGAUAUCACCUGGAACCCCGAUAGCGAAGGCAGCUUCCCAGGCUCGAUCUGACGCUGAUGCGCGAGAGCGUGGGUAGCGAACAGGAUUAGAUACCCUGGUAGUCCACGCCGUAAACGAUGCUCACUGGAUCUUGGCGAUACACUGCCAGGGUUCAAGCGAAAGUAUUAAGUGAG
rnacentral:rRNA from 1 species